rnacentral:lncRNA from 1 species
UUCCAUUUUUUUAUUUUUGUUAUUUGUUCUUAAGUCCCAAAAGGCCUUUAAGGCCGGUUUCAGUUAAAAGGCUUAAAGCCCAUCCCUCUUUGCAAUAAGUCAUUCGAGUCGUGUGUGUGUAUGUGUGGGUCUGGUGAUAGGAGCAUAUUUAUGUGACUUAGUUAGCUUAUUUUCUUGCAUUUUCAUAGCUAGUUUCUACUUAUUAUAGUGUUUUAAGCUAUUUUCGUGUGUUUGUAGGUCCAAAUAACAAAGUUGGCAAGAAAGUACAUUUUGGAGCAUUUUAGAGCAGUUUUGGGCUGGAAUGGAUAGCUUACAUAUGGAGCACAAGGAAUGGACGAAUUUGAAGUUCAAGAGAGGCUAGAAAUGUGCUAAAGAGUUGAAGAAAUUAAUUCAAGACAUUGAAGAUAAGGAAUCAGCUCAAAAGAAGGAAACGUUAUCCAAAAUCUUAUCCAACCCUAUCUUAUCCAAACUAACCUUAUCUUAUCUUAUCAUAUCUUAAUUCCAACUGCAAGGGGGGGAUCAAUUACACAUUAAAUCACCUAAAUACCCAUUUCUAGAAGCCUUACCACCUGCCCUAGAUUGGUGCCGCACCUUUUAUUGCUUUUCUUCUAGAAAUCUGCCAGAUAUUCCAUUCUAGAAGCUUUGGCCGAAUUUCCUAGUCCUUUUUCCCUAGGAUUGUGUAAUCCUUUUCCUCCACUACUUUGCGCAAAACCCUAUCCUAUAAAUACAUAUUUUCUGCCACAAAUCAAACCACCACCCCCAUAUUCAUUCUACACCACAAUUCACGCCAAUUUCUCAGAGAUUCAUCAAGUAACGCAGCAAGGAAGGAAGAAUGAGCUUUGUCUCGUGGCUUGCAAUCCAAUGAGGGUUUCGAAUCUGCCAUUGGAGUUGCUGGGAUGUUCCUGGUUCUUUCUAUCUUUAAAUUUGUUUCAAUGUUGGUUUUUGUUGAUGCACAAAAUCAGCGAAGACUUUGGUACAACAGAAAGUGUCAGGUUUUGUGACCUUCGCUUGGUUGCUUCGGUCACUAGUGAGGAUAAGUACGUAAAUGAAUAGAGACAGAGAAGCAAACACAGGAUGUACGUGGUUCACCCAGAUUGGCUACGUCUACGGAGUAGAGGAGUUCUUAUUAGUAGUGAAGGGCUUACACAAGUACAAAGGAUCAAGCUCUCAAUUUAGUGAGUUCUUGUGAAUGAUUUAACACAAAUGGCAUUAGGCCAUAUUGUGGGGGAAUGACCCCUAUUUAUAGAAAAACUUGUAGCUUUGUCACAUUGACAUGUGUCAUGUUAUGAUUGGUUCUUGAUGUCGACACGUGCUGCGCUCUGAUUGGCUUCUAAUCUUGACACGUGUCGAGUAGUGAUUGGCCUCCUGGUCGGAGGGGAACUCUUCUGGGUCCUUGACAGUAUAGCGUUGGCCGGUGCUCGGUAGUUUCGGGAUUGGUCAAGUAUGGUACAAACAGUGCUCCCCUAAGUUCCCGAGUGAGGGAAACUCCUCGGUUGGGGACUUGCAAGAUCCAAUCCCUUGAGUAAUCACGAAACUUCUAAGUACCGAAGUGUGGUCUGAUCUUCAUCUGCCCUUCUCUGGAAGUACCUUUCCUCCAUCCGGGAAUGGUGUAUUUAGCUGAUGAAGAUGCACAAGGUAAUGUAUCAAUUUCACUUUGAAGCUUACUUGUAGUUUCGGGCUUGGUCAAGUGCGAUACAAACCCUAUAGUAGGAGUCCCCCAAGUCGCCGAGCUAGGAGAUCUGCCGAAAAGAGGUGACAGACAAGGUAAGCAGUCAAACUUCCAAGUAAGCAACCCAGGAUCAGAGGUUUGACUUCGGCUUCCGGUUGAUUGUUCUCCUUCUCCUUGUCUCUCAUUCAACUGCCAGGAUAAGGAGAAGCAAAUGGAUAAGAGAUGAUAUGAGAUACUUUUGCUUUUGAAGAAGUAACUUUCCACAGGCUUAUUCUUGAACUGUGCUGGAGGGUUUUCUGGUGCCCUUCAAAGUAUAAGGCCGACUCAAAAAUUUGAGGGUCAAAACAAGUCCAUCAAAUCUAGAAUACGUUCGACCUUGAUGAUAUGGGAUACUUUUGCUGUUGACGGAAUAAUGAAUGUGGUAUGGAAAGGUGUCGUGCUGUAGUGAUCUGUUUCAGCUCACCGUUGAACCUUCUGCUUCAAUCUUUUGCAUGGCAGAAGUGGUGUGCAACCUUUGCAUUUAAAUGGUCCUUCAGAACAUUCCUUCAUAGUGACUCAUCUACGCUUGGCAGCUUCAGUGUAAAGAGCCAAUAUCUGAUCAACUGUCAUGAGGUAUUUGCUGGUGGAAUUCGUGACCUUGACAGCAGUUGAGGAUGAGUACUCGAGAGCAAUGCUAAGUAAGCAACCAGGCAAAGGCUCCAGGCAGUCAGUUCCAAAUUGGAGGUUUGAUUUCAGGUUCCGACUGACUGCUCUCUUUCUCCUUGUCCUGCAGGUGUGGACAAGGACAAAGACAAAGACAGGGAGAAAGCAUGAUAUGGGAUACUCUUGCUUUCGACCCUGAUGAUAUGAGAUACUCUUGUUCUUGGUGUGGCUUAUUUGCUGAGGUAUUAUCGGGGGGGAAAUAAAGCUGAGUAUUUCGAGAGGUUAUGUUGAGGGUGCCUUUUCGAAUGCGAGAAAGGGUUGAGCAUUUUUGCAGGUUUGCCUGUCCGUUGAGGAGGGGAGGUCAAUGUAUAUAGGGAUUUCCCAAUAACAAGUAGUAAUGCUAUUCCUUUACCCUUCUUGGUCACAGCAAUGUAGUGGGAGCUGCCAGCUUCACGUGUUUUAAUUUUGUCAGAGCACUUUGAAAAAGUGGUAUGUGGUAUCUGGAAAGCUGAUAUUACGUGUGAAGAUUACAGACAAGCUUUAUCUAAGGAAAUCUGGCUCUCGAAGUUCUGAGAGUUGUGCCUCUUCGAUUUUCGAACAAGCAAUCCCGUCGAGGAUCUGACUCUCGAGAUUCGGAAAGCGGUGCUACUCCGGUUUUUUGAGAAAGUAAUUAUGUUGGGAGUCUUUUCUCGAAUGUGAGUAAAGGUUGGACGUUCUUGCCAACCUGUCUUGCCGCAAAACACGGAGGUCGACACACAUAGGGACUUUCCAGUUGUCAAAGCAGUGGUGCUGUUCCUUUACCCUUAUGGGUAAUAGUAGGGUAGCUGGAACUUCGAAAUUCUCGUGCCUAAACUUUGUCAGAGAUCUUUGACAAAGUUAUAUGUGGUACCCGAGGAGUUGAUGGUGCAUAUGGAGAGCGGUGAUUGAACAGUAAGAUUCACGUGCUUUCUACUUCACCAGAAAUCUUCGACAGAUUGCCCGUAAUUUCCGCAAAGCUGAGUGUGCAUGUGACAGGUGCUGACGAGGCUGAAAAAGCAGGUGCUUCUUCGAUUUCUGAGAUCGGCCCUCGUGGUCUCUGAGCAGCCCAGCUUUUGAGAAAGCAAACGCCUCUUCGAUUUCUGAAGCUCCGUCGAGUGCAGAUUUUUAUAGAGGCUGGCAUUAAGUUCCACAGCACACUUGAAUCUCUACCAGUAGAAGCUCAUUUCUUGCACUUCUAAGAUCUUGAUUUGUCUGACCUCUUCCCUCUUCAACACAUUUGAAAAUGUUUGGACCCUCCGACCGUCGUUUUGACUUGAACCUUGGAGAAGAGACAGCCACGCCUUCUCCAGACAACAUAUGGCGCCCAUCAUUCAUAUCCCCUACUGGUCCUCUUACCGUUGGGGAUUCUGUGAUGAAGAAUGAUAUGACCGCUGCAGUGGUGGCCAGGAACCUUCUCACUCCCAAAGAUAACAGACUACUUUCCAAACGGUCUGAUGAGUUGGCUGUUAAGGACUCUCUGGCUCUUAGUGUUCAGUGUGCAGGUUCUGUGUCUAAUAUGGCCCAACGCCUAUUUGCUAGAACCCGCCAAGUUGAAUCAUUGGCUGCUGAAGUGAUGAGUCUCAAACAGGAGAUUAGAGGGCUCAAGCAUGAGAAUAAGCAGUUGCACCGGCUCGCCCAUGACUAUGCUACAAACAUGAGAGAGGAAGCUUGACCAGAUGAAGGAAUCUGAUGGUAAGGUUUUACUUGAUCAUCAGCGGUUUGUGGGUUUGUUCCAAAGGCAUUUAUUGCCUUCGUCCUCUGGGGCUGUACCUGGUAAUGAAGCUUCAAAUGAUGAACCUCCAAUGCCUCCUCCUUCUGGGGUUUUGUCAAGUACUGAGGCUCCGGAUAACCACCCUCCGGUGCUUUCUCUUUCUGGGGCUCUACCGACUGCUGAGACUUCCCCUAAGCAACCUUUGUGAAGGCUCCCUUUUGUUUGUUUAUUUUGACUCAUGUAUAUGUACAUAUUUGUGGCUUAUCGAUCGAAAAUAUUAAUAAAUAAGCUUUGCUUCAUUUCAACAUAUUGUGUUAAAUACACCAAAGCCUUCUUCAUAAAGUUCUUUGAAUUUUUGCUUUUGUUGAAACCUGUAUUGUUGAAGCUUUGUGAGUGAAGCAUGUAGUUUGAGGUAGUGUUCCCUUAAUUUCCCGAGUGAGGAAAACUUCUCGGUUGGAGACUUGAAAAAUCCAAGUCACUGAGUGGUUGUGAGACUGCCGAGUAUCAAGGUGCAGUAGCAUAUGGUGGGAGUCCCCCAAGUCUUCAGGCGAAGAGAGUUGCCGAAUGAGGUGUCUAGCUAGUAGUCAAUGUCAUGAGUAGGAAAACUUCACUUGUUUCUUUUCGAAGUGGUAACCCAGGGCUCUUUCUUCAUAUAUUGUUUUUUUUGUUAUGAAGAUGUGUUAGGCCCAAAGAAGUGGAGGCCUAGGCCCUUUUUUUUUUUUUUUUUUUUUUUUUUUUUUCCCUCCCUUUUUCUUUGGAAUGUUUGUACAGAUAUCUAUAAUGUGGCCUUUGUCAUGAUUUUGGAGGAUGGGUGUAUUCGAAUCCAAUGAGGGGUAGGGUAUGACUCAUUAUCAUGUGCCAUGAUUUUGUCUUCCUUUAGCUUUUCUUUUGCUUUGCUUUACCAUUUUUGCUUUCCUUUAGUCUGCCUUUAGCUUUUCUUCAAUAUAACACCAUUUUCUGUGGCUCAGAUCGCAAAACCAUCUUCAUGAAAGUUGUUCCUUAGCUCGUGAACUACAACAUAUCCGAAUUGGAGAUCCAUCGGAGCAGUACAACUCCAGAAAUUCAGGUAUGAUGAGUGAUUGUUCGUCAUUUGUAUAUCAACGCGUCAGACUUGUUGUGAGCUUCAAAAACUCCAUUUUCUCUUGCUCAGAUCAACAUACUUUCUUCAUCUAAGUUGUUCCUUAACUUGUGAACUACAACAUAUCCAAAAUUGAGAUCCCUCGGAGCUGUAUAACUCAAGAAAUUCAGGUAUGAUGAAUGACUGGUUAUUAUUUUUCUGUCAACCCGUCAGAUUUGUUGUGAGCUUCGAAACUCCAUUUUCUAUUGUUCAGAUCAGCAUGCUUUCUUCAUUGAAGUUGUUCCUCAUCGUCUCUUUCAUAACAUAUCAAAAAUUCAGAAUGAACUAAUGGUUAAAUAUUUCCAGAUCUUCGAAACAUCACAGCAGCUUCGAAAUCUGCAAGAAUCCGACUGUCAUGUUUGGAGCUUCAACACUUUAAUUUCCGUCGCUCAAACAGAAAUGGUUCCUUCUUGAAAGUUGUUCAUAUGCUCAAAAACGAUAGGGUGUCCAAAAUUCAGCUCCAUUGGAGAAGAGCAGAGGUUGAAGAAAUUUGAUAGAUGAAAGGAGGCGGAAGAGGGAGAGAGAGAAAAAGUCUCUUGGGUUGGAUUUCUAUUUUGGGGCAGAUUCCAAUUUUUGUAGCACCUUCAUUAUUGAUGAAUUGCUUGUACUUUUGUCCAUUAAGAAACCUGGGACUUUGGCUUGUUGUUGGAUCUAUUAUAAUAUGUUUGGGAACAUAUAUAAGUGAAUAAAUAAGAAGGAAGAUUUUGGGCCCUUGUGGGUGUAAAACAAAAAAUGUUUAUGUUUACCCAAGUGUUUUUGUACAAGUUCAAGGGCAUCUUGGGUUUUGUGAAUAAAAUUUGUUUAUUUGGAGCAAGGUUUUGUGUUGAAGCUUUGUAGGUGAAGCUUUGGUGUUGAAGCUUUCUAGGUGAAGCUUUGAUGGUGAAGCUUUGAUGGUGAAAGUAUGUAGAGGGAGCUUUCUAGGUGAAGCUUUUUUAGGUGAAGCUUUGUAGGUGAAGCUUUUUGAAGUGAAGCUUUUCGGGUGAAGUUUUUUGGGUGAAGCUUUGUGGGUGAAGCUUUUUAGGUGAAGCUUUGUGGGUGAAGCUUUUUUAGGUGAAGCUUUUUGGGUGAAGCUUUUUGGAGGUGAAGUUUUUUUUUUUGGGUGAAGCUUUUUUAGGUGAAGCUUUUUGGGUGAAACUUUUUGGAUGAAGCUUUUUGGGUGAAGUUUUGUAGGUGAAGCUUUUCGGGUGAAGCUUUUUGGAUGAAGCUGUUUUUUUUUUUUUUUUUUUUUUUUUUUUUUUUUUUUUUUUUUUGGCGCUUGACACGGUCUUCAUUUGCUUGUUUUGUAGUGACUGUGGAAGACGGAUUGCUUUCUGAUUGAGAAGGGUUCCGGCAUCGCUUUGCACCAUCUUCAUGUGGGUAAUAUAGGAACUUCCUUAUGUUUUGAUCAUGCAUGUGAUUUUUCCCUGGACUCGUUGUACUGGCUUCCAGGGUAUGUCUGUCGGAACACCUCUGAGUCCCCUGUACCCUCAUGUCUCUCUAGGACUUGUUGCCCCUUCCCCAAAUUGGUGGCCGGCUUGGGCCGUGGCAGGGGACCGAGUCUCUCCGAAAUCCUUGGGUCAUUAAUCUUUGAGCUUAUAUGGAUGGAAUUCUCUCGACGUUGCUUCAGGAAAUCCCGACAAUCGCGAAAGACGGCUUUCGAUCCUUCUGCCCCUUCAGCAAAGAGGUGUCUCCCUCCAAUUCUCAUGGUUCGGGUCGAAGCAACUGGGUUAAGAGAAGCCUCAUGUUGAUUAUCAAGUCGAGGGGUAAUCUGUUCCCUAUCAGGGAUAUCUAUGUCGAAUGCAUGUGACCCUCCAUGUUGGAGGGCACCCAGUUGAUGGUUGACUUCCACGGGGGCAACAAGCUCGCGUGUCUGAGCUUGCCUAGCUUCGUGGAGUGUCUCGAAGAGCUUCUCAUAUUGCUCCUGGAGGGACCUCAUUCCUCAUUGCUAUCUUGUUGUUCUGAGCUUCCAACUCAUCGACUUUAGCUUGAAGAAGAACUCGUUUUCCUUCCUUCUUUCGUUGUUUCGCACUAUGUGCAAAGGCGGUGUCAUUCUGUGUGCUGUGGCUUCCUUCGCUUCCCAUGUUGGAGAGGGAUGCCUGAUCAAAAGAAAGUGUACGAAUGAUAGAAACCAGCUUGACACAGCUGAAGAGAGUAGGAAUAAGUGUCGUUUCCCACAGACGGCGCCAAAUGUUGAUGCACAAAAUCAGCGAAGACUUUGGUACAACAGAAAGUGUCAGGUUUUGUGACCUUCGCUUGGUUGCUUUGGUCACUAGUGAGGAUAAGUACGUAAAUGAAUAGAGACAGAGAAGCAAACACAGGAUGUACGUGGUUCACCCAGAUUGGCUACGUCUACGGAGUAGAGGAGUUCUUAUUAGUAGUGAAGGGCUUACACAAGUACAAAGGAUCAAGCUCUCAAUUUAGUG